GAUGAACGCUGGCGGCGUGCUUAACACAUGCGAGUCGAACGAAACACCUUAUUUGAUUUUCUUCGGAACUGAAGAUUUGGUGAUUGAGUGGCGGACGGGUGAGUAACGCGUGGGUAACCUGCCCUGUACAGGGGGAUAACAGUCAGAAAUGACUGCUAAUACCGCAUAAGACCACAGCACCGCAUGGUGCAGGGGUAAAAACUCCGGUGGUACAGGAUGGACCCGCGUCUGAUUAGCUGGUUGGUGAGGUAACGGCUCACCAAGGCGACGAUCAGUAGCCGGCUUGAGAGAGUGAACGGCCACAUUGGGACUGAGACACGGCCCAAACUCCUACGGGAGGCAGCAGUGGGGAAUAUUGCACAAUGGGGGAAACCCUGAUGCAGCGACGCCGCGUGAGUGAAGAAGUAUUUCGGUAUGUAAAGCUCUAUCAGCAGGGAAGAAAAUGACGGUACCUGACUAAGAAGCCCCGGCUAACUACGUG
rnacentral:rRNA from 1 species